CGCGCACCGAGUCACUCGACCCAACUUCCGAGGAGGUGAGAGCGAACAAUGGCCUCCCGUGCGCUCUUGCGUGCGGCCGGCCCAAAUACAUGCCUCGGUAGGUAGGCGUCACUAUUCGUGGUGGUUGUAAGAGAACACGCCCUAGAAACCGAUCCAGUGCACGUCGUGCCGCAUCACACAGGGCCACAACGACCCACAAAGGGCCAUCCCCGGAUGGCUCCCACUCU
rnacentral:rRNA from 1 species